AUGGCAGCUGAAUGCCUCAGACUUCUUGGUGGUUUGGAUCCCAGACGCAUUUUGAGAAGGAAACCUCUGAGAAGAGGGAGCUCUCUGGAUCCCACACCACUUCCCUGCAGCCAAGUUCCUGGACCCAUGAUAAAAGCACGCAGCCCGAUGAGAAGUAUCCAACCUGAAGUGAUCAACAAGAAGGGGGUCACACCAGUGGGACCUCAACAGCCAGGUCUUUAGGUACGCAAACUGCAACAGCUGUUGUAUGAAAUCCUGCUACUUGUCGAGCACUGUGAUUUAUUCACCACACCUGCUUUAUAAGACUACAUGUACAUGGAUAUGUAAAUCUAAAACAUAGUUUACGGCAGGUCUGACUUUUAGCUUUAGAGAUGUGUAAGAUCAACUAUCCCUUUCCUGGUUCCAGUUGUGCUAGAGCCUGAUAUCAGGGGACGAGUUUGUCUUUUUUUUUUUUUUUUUUUUUUUUUUUUUAUGAGAGACCAUUUUUUGGAGACAAAUUCCCCAUUUACAAUCCAUGAGCUGGAAGCUACAAAACAAUCCAUCAGGAAUUUAAGGACAAGGGAGGGUGCAAUGACAGCCAAUAAAUGAAGCACCCUGAGCAGACGUGGGCACCUGGGGGAAAGGCUGGCGCUGCAGGGUGAACAGAAGGCAGUGCCUGCACUGGGGCUGCCUCCUCCUGGGCUGCCUCCUCUCAUCCUUCCCUGCGGGAUUGAUCUUGCAGGCUGGCACUGCUCCUGGCUCUGCUUCUCUGGUGCUCCCCAAGAUGGAGCAGUGUCUGUUGGAGACGUACGAUUCCCUGCUCUUGCAGUGCAGAGUGAAUUGGGUUGUGUACUCUGCUCUCCAGCAUCGUCCUCAGGUUUUGGAGGCAAGAGACCUGGUUUGGAGGCAGUGAUCUACCUCCUGCCUUGCCCCCGGCAUUGAAGGGAGCUGGCUUAUCUGCUCUCACAGCACCACGAGGGUUUGGCUGCUUGUCCCAUUGCACUGCAAGGACACUGGAUGCUGCUGCCGCGAGGCUGGAACCACGUAGAUGGAACCAGUGAAAUGAUUCUGGUAUAAAAGUGGCCAAAUUGAGAGAAGCCAGAGUGCAGGGGAGCUUGGUGGCAUCCGGAGCUGCCGUGCAUGGUGGCUCUUCUCCAGCCACGUGCCACGGCAUGCUGACUUGGGGGCGAGCCUUUUUAGCACUUUUUCCCCAAACUCCCCCUCUGUGUCCUCUCUGACAGAGGCUGCACAGACCUCACACCUCCCCAAUCCCUGCCGGAGCAGCAGCGCUGGACUGGCUGCAAUACAUGUAGCUCAAGCGGCGAGGAGCCAGGGCUCAGCACCCAUCUGCUCGGAGACCUCCUGAAACCCCCAGAUAGCUGCGGAGUCACAGAGAGGAUCCACGUGAGAGCUUCGCUGAGUAGCAACCCCUGCUGCGCGGGAGCCCUCACCAGGCUUCCUAAUUUAUAUGUAUAUGAGCUGUACAUAUUGCCAUGCAUACCAUGCUGCAAGUGAAUAAGGAUAACUAUAUGCAACUGUGAAUAAAAGAGCCGAGUGAAUCAUUCAUCAUGGAUUAUUGAUAGGAUUAAUUUCACCUCUUCUUCUGCUCUCAGGAUGCCCACCAGUUCCCCCUGAAUUUAUUUUCCCUCCUUUAUUAAAUAUUUUUGAAGAUGAAAGAAAGUAAAACCAAGUCGUUUUUCUCCUCUUUGCUCAGAUGAGCACAAUGUUUGCCAUCAGGUUAACCCUACACACUCUCCCAGAAAGUGAAUGUCUUUUUCUGGCAUUAGAGCUUCAACAUCUUUCCCCCAAUAGUUCAUAUAUGUAAGGAUGGGGAUCUUAGAAGAGAAGAGAGAGGGACAGGCAGGAAUGAAGGGGUUUCACUAGCUUAUGGGGACAAACAGACAUGAGUGGUGCUCAGCAGGGCCCAGUCAUCUCUGGGCAGGAAGGGACACGGCUGUGAGUGCUCGACUCUGGGUUUACACACACCCACAUGCACCAGUGAGCACAGAUUCAGACAGAAGCCAAAUGAGGCAAUGGGAUCUUUGAGGUCUAACCAGCCAAAUCGGGGUGCUCAAUGCCAUGCUUCAUUAUUCAUGCUACUAAACGAGUCACUGAAUUUUCCUUUGACACAGCACAUCCGAAUUAACCACAGAAGCAGGUGCUCCACAGUCUGGAAAACAGGCUGGUUUAUUUAAGUGCCUAAACAUGGCUAUAGAAACCUCACUGUGGGAACAGUUAGGAGGGGAAGACAGGUGAUAUGUGUGCUGUUUAAGCUAGGUCCAAAAAUGAAGCCAGAGCUUGAGCUCCUGUUUCUGUCACCAAGGAGAAAUAGCUCCCUGGACCUGAGCUGAUGUGCUGCCCGAGCACUUCCCCAAGUCAGGCUCCUGCUGAAGCUCCUGCUUUGGUUGUCCUUCUCUUUCCCUGCCCUGUGUAUUGUAUCCAGACUUUGUACGCGCAGUUUAAGAUAAAAUAGUUUUCUAGACCAAAUCUCAAAACAGGAAAGACAAGAUGUCUCCGGAAAGCUCUGCUGAUGGCUGCAGCUUCCCUGUGAUCACUCUUCAGGUCACCCCUUGGGAUGGCCCAGGGACAGUUCUCUGCCAAGCCAGAUACCACUGCAAUUUAGGCAAGCUGCCUAAGUGAGUUUUUUCAAGUUCUUAAGACAGCAGGAACUAGACAGGCAAGUGAUUUAAAACCCUGUGUGCAGCCUCUUCAAGGGGCACAGCUGCCCUUCCCAGGCCUUCCAGGCAGCUCACAAGCAUGAUGAGGUCCAACCCUGUCCAGGGCUGAUGGUACUGACGAGCCUCAGGAGGAUGGAGACAGGCCCUUGACCCUUGCCACCUCCCGACAGCUUUGUGAGCCUGGAGUAUUCAGUCAAAGU
rnacentral:lncRNA from 1 species